GACGAACGCUGGCGGCGUGCUUAACACAUGCAAGUCGAACGGAAAGGCCCUGCUUUUGUGGGGUGCUCGAGUGGCGAACGGGUGAGUAACACGUGAGUAACCUGCCCUUGACUUUGGGAUAACUUCAGGAAACUGGGGCUAAUACCGGAUAGGAGCUCCUGCUGCAUGGUGGGGGUUGGAGAGUUUCGGCGGUUGGGGGUGGACUCGCGGCUUAUCAGCUUGUUGGUGGGGUAGUGGCUUACCAAGGCUUUGACGGGUAGCCGGCCUGAGGGGGUGACCGGCCACUUUGGGACUGAGAUACGGCCCAGACUCCUACGGGGGGCAGCAGUGGGGAAUAUUGCACAGUGGGCGGGAGCCUGAUGCAGCAACGCCGCGUGCGGGAUGACGGCCUUCGGGUUGUAAACCGCUUUCGCCUGUGACGAAGCGUGAGUGACGGUAAUGGGUAAAGAAGCACCGGCUAACUACGUG
rnacentral:rRNA from 1 species